rnacentral:rRNA from 1 species
AACGUAGGGGGCGAGCGUUGUCCGGAAUUACUGGGCGUAAAGGGCGUGUAGGCGGCUAGGUAAGUCAGGUGUGAAAACUCUGGGCUCAACCCAGAGAUUGCAUUUGAAACUGCGUAGCUUGAGGGUAGGAGAGGAAAGCGGAAUUCCUAGUGUAGCGGUGAAAUGCGUAGAUAUUAGGAGGAACACCAGUGGCGAAGGCGGCUUUCUGGCCUAACCCUGACGCUGAGGCGCGAAAGCGUGGGGAGCAAACAGG